GACGAACGCUGGCGGCGUGCUUAACACAUGCAAGUCGAACGGAAAGGCCCCUUUGGGGGUACUCGAGUGGCGAACGGGUGAGUAACACGUGAGUAACCUGCCCUUGACUUCGGGAUAACUUCAGGAAACUGGGCUAAUAACGGGAAGGAAACCCUGCCUCAAGGUGGGGGGUUGGAAAGUUUCGGCGGUUUUGGAUGGACUCGCGGCUUAUCAGCUUGUUGGUGGGGUAGUGGCUUACCAAGGCUUUGACGGGUAGCCGGCCUGAGAGGGCGACCGGCCACAUUGGGACUGAGAUACGGCCCAGACUCCUACGGGAGGCAGCAGUGGGGAAUAUUGCACAAUGGGCGGAAGCCUGAUGCAGCAACGCCGCGUGCGGGAUGACGGCCUUCGGGUUGUAAACCGCUUUCAGCAGGGGCGAAGCUUGUGGUGACGGUACCUGCAGAAGAAGCACCGGCUAACUACGUG
rnacentral:rRNA from 1 species